rnacentral:rRNA from 1 species
ACGUAGGGGGCAAGCGUUAUCCGGAAUUACUGGGCGUAAAGAGUGCGUAGGUGGUUUUUUAAGCGUGAGGUGAAAGCCAAUAGCUUAACUAUUGUAAGCCUUGCGAACUGGAAGACUUGAGUACAGGAGAGGAAAGUGGAAUUCCUAGUGUAGCGGUGAAAUGCGUAGAUAUGAGAAGGAACACCAAUGGCGAAGGCAGCUUACUGGAUUAUAACUGACACUGAGGCACGAAAGCGUGGGGAGCAAACAG